UGUGGUUGUAAAUGCCUAAUCUUGUCUCACCUCUGAAGCUACGCAGGGCUGGGCGUGGUUAGUACUUGGACGGGAGACCGCUGGGAAUACAAGGUGCCACAG
rnacentral:rRNA from 1 species